rnacentral:rRNA from 1 species
ACUCAAAGGAAUUGACGGGGGCCCGCACAAGCGGUGGAGCAUGUGGUUUAAUUCGACGCAACGCGAAGAACCUUACCAGGGCUUGACAUCCCGCGAAUCCUGCCGAAAGGCAGGAGUGCCCGCAAGGGAGCGCGGAGACAGGUGGUGCAUGGCUGUCGUCAGCUCGUGUCGUGAGAUGUUGGGUUAAGUCCCGCAACGAGCGCAACCCUCACCCCUUGUUGCCAUCAGGUCACGCUGGGCACUCUAGGGGAACUGCCCCGGUCAACGGGGAGGAAGGUGGGGACGACGUCAAGUCAUCAUGCCCCUUACGUCCUGGGCUACACACGUGCUACAAUGGCCGGUACAAAGGGAUGCAAGACCGUGAGGUGGAGCUAAACCCAAAAAGCCGGUCUAAGUUCAGAUUGGAGUCUGCAACUCGACUCCAUGAAGGAGGAAUCGCUAGUAAUCGCGCAUCAGCACGGCGCGGUGAAUACGUUCCCGGGCCUUGUACACACCGCCCGU